CCCCCUAGUAACUGCGAGUGAAGCGGGAAAAGCUCAAAUUUAAAAUCUGGCAGUCUUUGAUUGUCCGAGUUGUAAUCUAGAGAAGUGUUAUCCGCGCUGGACCGUGUACAAGUCUCCUGGAAUGGAGCGUCAUAGAGGGUGAGAAUCCCGUCUUUGACACGGACUACCAGGGCUUUGUGAUGCGCUCUCAAAGAGUCGAGUUGUUUGGGAAUGCAGCUCAAAAUGGGUGGUAAAUUCCAUCUAAAGCUAAAUAUUGGCGAGAGACCGAUAGCGAACAAGUACCGUGAGGGAAAGAUGAAAAGAACUUUGGAAAGAGAGUUAAACAGUACGUGAAAUUGCUGAAAGGGAAACGCUUGAAGUCAGUCGCGUUGUCCAGGGAUCAACCUUGCUUUUGCUUGGUGCACUUUCUGGUUGACGGGUCAGCAUCAAUUUUGACUAUUGGAAAAAGAUUAGGGGAAUGUGGCAUCUUUGGAUGUGUUAUAGCCCUUGGUUGUAUACAAUAGUUGGGAUUGAGGAACUCAGCACGCCGCAAGGCCAGGUUUUUAACCAUGUACGUGCUUAGGAUGCUGGCAUAAUGGCUUUAAUCGACCCGUCUUGAAACACGGACCAAGGAGUCUAACAUGUCUGCGAGUGUUUGGGUGGAAAACCCGAGCGCGUAAUGAAAGUGAAAGUUGAGAUCCCUGUCGUGGGGAGCAUCGACGCCCGGACCAGACCUUUUGUGACGGUUCCGCGGUAGAGCAUGUAUGUUGGGACCCGAAAGAUGGUGAACUAUGCCUGAAUAGGGUGAAGCCAGAGGAAACUCUGGUGGAGGCUCGUAGCGAUUCUGACGUGCAAAUCGAUCGUCAAAUUUGGGUAUAGGGGCGAAAGACUAAUCGAACCAUCUAGUAGCUGGUUCCUGCC
rnacentral:rRNA from 1 species